rnacentral:lncRNA from 1 species
GUUUUGACUUCCCGAAUAAACUGGGUUAUUCUUCCGGAAUGACUAAGUUAUUCAAACCAUCCACAGUCGGUCAUAUGUUGGAAGUAGAUAUGAAUUAAGACUGUCAUGGGUUGGCUUGUAGAGGUCUAAGGUGUUGGACAAAGGGCUACAACACUCAUGAGUGCUCAUAAGUUCUGAGUAUUGGAUUCAACCCGCGCUCAUUGGAAUCACUUCAUGGAUUUUAUCACGAGUGAUCAUGAGACGAUAAUAUCUUAUAUUCUUCAAACCUAGAGAUAUGAGUUGUUACUAUGAGUUGAUAGUACAUUGAUUGCACGAAAACGCAUUUGGUAACUCGGUGCUAUAAAACGUGCCUUUGUGUAUGAUUCAACAAGUAGUAGAACAAGCCAUAUGAGUCGAAGUUUAUCCGUUCCUUUUACCUUCGGGAUAAAAGCGAUAUCUGUGGGCCCCUCGAUGAUUUGAUGAUGACAAAUGGAAGUGCUCGGCCGGGCCAGGACUGAUUUGAUUUGUUCAAUUAGUCAGUCGUCAUAAAUCGGAAAUCGGGAAACAACAAAUGGACAGAGAGAAUGAUUAUAAUCCAUGUCUCAGUCCAUAUGAUAUCUAGAAUGGAGGAAUAUAUGAUCCCUUAUCUAAUGGACAAGUCAUUGACAAAGGUCAGAGUUCAUCUACAAGGUCAGAGUUCGACAGAAGCUUUUGAGAGCUACGAUUGCCAGUUGGUUCCUGAAGUCAUACGCAAUAAUAGUUUUAGACUUAUCCAAGUGGGAGACUGUUGGAUUAAUGUCUAAGUCCAUAACUAUAAUUGGUAAGACUUGACCCGACCCGGCAUGGUCCAUUUGGGUUGCAUACCAUCAUGCACUUGGAUAGACUAUAAUGAGAGAAAUAAGACACUUAUGGUUAUUAAUAUAUUAUAAGUUCUAGUAUAUUAAUAAUAAGAAUAAUAAGAUUAUUUAAUUAGUAUUGAUCAAGAAUUAAUCUAGGAUUAAUUAAGUGAUCAAAAGAAGACUAAUUAAAUAUAUGGGUUGAUUGUGUAAAUCAUCCAUACUUGUAUAGUGGGCUAAUGCUCCAUGGAUAAUCAAGUUGGGCUAAAACCCAUAGGAUGGUCCAUGGAUGCUCCAUGGUGUAUUUGUACCCAUGGAUCCAAGGAAAUGGAAAGCCAUGACAAUUAAGAGUUUACCCUAAUUGUGUAACUAUAUAAGCAUCUUAUUAUUGAGGAAAAAUCGGCCACUAGUGAUAGUGAAGAAAGGGCUAGCCGAUUUUGAAGAGUGUAGAAUUCUCUCAAGUCAUUCCAAGUGUUUUGAUGAUUGUGAUUCCAUUUGAGGUGUCACACUUGGGGCACUAGGCACUCAAGCUUCAUGAAGACUUUCUACAUCAAAGAGGUAUGUAUUCUAUCUUGUUAUAGUCAUUGUUUUGUAUGCUAGAUUAGGAUAAUACCUUGGAAGUUCUUAUUUGCAUGUAUAAUAGAGAAAACAUAGAUCCAAGGUAUUUAGGGUUGCAUGUACACUUAGGAGUGUUAGAAUGCUCAAAACCCAACAGUGGUAUCAGAGCCUAGGCUUGUUUUCUUGUUAUACCUGCAAUAGAAGCUGAAAAAACGAAUCUGGUGCUGUCUGGCCAUCAGACUCGGCGAGUCCAUCAGGAGACUCGACGAGUCCAUGCCUAAAAAGUGAUGAAUUCGAUCCAACUCGCCGAGUUUGUUCAUGCACUCGACGAGUUGGACCCCCAGACAGCAUAUUUUCGAGUUUUUUGGCUAGAAAUGGACUAGGAACAUUACCCUAAGUUGUUUUUGAACUUAUAAACUUGUUUUUGAUGUGGUAAUGUUCAUGCUAAUCCAUUUUCAAAGAUAAUUGUCAAUAGAUUCAUGUUUUGUAUUAGUUUAAGGUUUAGACUAAUUACAUGAAAAAGUUUGAUUUGAAUUAUCUUGUUCUUAUGAGUUGCUUAGAUUAAUAGAAAUGUUGAGUGAAAUAGUUGUUUUCAAUCCAUUUUAAUCUAAGAGUUGAGUAUAAAAUGUGUUUGUGUAACUUGUCCUCAAGUUACAUGAAGAGUCACAUUAAAGACUCAUAAAACUCAUAAAAGUUGGCAAUGGUUACAAAAUGAAGAGUCUUGUGUCAUUGAAUAAUUUUUUUUGACUCCAUAACUUGUCCUCAAGUUAUGGAAGUUCAAGAGUCACUUCAUUAAAGAAAAAUAUGUAACCAUAAUUAAAUCCAUAAGUUAUAAAAUAAAGAAAAAGUUAGUUCUUUUAUUAGUUUAAAGUCUUCCAUAACUUGUCCUCAAGUUAUGGAACUUGAAGAGUUUUUGGAUUAAAACUACUUUAAACACAUAAGUUAUGGAAUUAAUUAGUUUUGAAUAGUUUCAAAACUUGCCCUCAAGUUUUGGAAUUUGAAAAGUUUUCAAGUAUGAAUACUUUAAUUCCAAGUUAGCCCUUAGAAUUUUAAAAGUUAAAAUUCAACCCUUAUACUUUAUAAUAUUAUAAGUUAAUAAUAUAUAUAUGUAUAAGAGUAAAGUCAGUCUUACCGCUAGUACGCCUCAUUCACGAAGCCGGUCUAUAAGGUGGGUAUAAGGUUGUUGCCUAUAAAAUGGCAACUUAAUGGGUGUCCACUCUCACCCACCGCUUGCUUGACUGGUGGAGGGUCGUUAGCCGAACGGGUUUGACAGGACUAGAAUUCUCCCUUCAUUAAAAGUAUUAAUGAUAAUACUAAGUAACUAAACUCUUAAUAAUACCCAAUCUUAGUUACUUAGGAAAAAUGUGAAUAAGGUGCUAAUCCAUGAAAUUACACUUUACACUUUGUCUAAGUCGUUAGUGGAGCGUGUGUGGUUAACCGGCACACUAACUUGGACUUAACAAGGUAGGUAAAGGGUGACUUAAUAUUUAUCAUAGUAUCGAUGGAGCGUGUGUGGUUAACCGGCACAUCGAUUGAGGGGUAAUUUAUUAAGGGUACCAAGUGAUUUGCAUGGUUACUUCACACCUUGUUUUGUGAUCCUCGGCAUCCCAGUCACAAAACCUGAAGGGCACACUCGAGAUUGAAACAUGCCUUUGAAAAGUUCAAUGAAUCUCAAAGAUCUAGGAGUUUCAAAACCAAUUAAAACCUAAUAAUACAUUUCGUUUAUCUUGGUGGAAAUUGGUGAAUCGUCAUUCACCUACCUUCAAAUAUUUUAUAGCUUGGAUUACGGCAUACCUCUUCUAAGUUAUAAAAUAGUUUGUUGGGUCCUAGCCUUAAUAUUUCAUAUUGGGUGUCAUAUUAAGGACUUUAAAUCAACUAUCUUGAAUAUCUCCCAAAAGAUGUCUGGUUUAGACACCUAUGAUCUUCCCAAAUCUCUUGAAACAAGGUUUCCUAAUGAAGAUGAUGUCCCAUGGAUAUCAUACUUCUUCACCUCUUCAAAUUAUUCUCCCUAACCCACAAGUUCUUGAAAAGUUUAAGGUCACUCAGGCCCUAUUGGCAAGGCAAGGUCUAGGUGUGGUCACAUCUUGGAGAUGUAGUCACAUAUUGACAAGCCGGGAGAGUUGGGUGUCAAAGUCUUGAGAAAGUUGGUGGUUCAACCACUUUCUAAGUCACAUAGUGAGUUCCUUUGGGACACCUAUGAAACAGACUAUGACAAGACCCUUAAUGAUCUUAUCUAUUUGCUAAGAUCAACUUCCUAAAACUUUAUGGACAUUGACAAUGAUGACAUUGGAUAUCCAGUAAAGCAUUCUCUUCCCAAUGGAAAGGGAUCGGCCAUAGUCAACUCGGUUGACCAAAUGGUAAAGAGAAAAGCUAAGUCUGUGAUAGUCCCGUGUACCAUUAUCAAAGGGUCCAUAUGUUUAUAUUGCCAAAGGAAGGGGCAUUGGUUGCGAAGCUGCCAAAUUUACCUAAGGAUGUUAAAGUCAAUAAGUUUGACUCUACUUCAGGUAAAGUCCACUAUCUAACUCUGUUAAGUUUCUAUUCUGAGAUUCUUGAUACAUGAUGUGACUGGGUCACAUGGUGAUGUUUUAAGAAUCAAAGAAAAGUGAAGAAACUUAAAGAAAGAAUAUGCUGAAUCUGAUGGCGUAGAUGGAUUUCUAUCGCAUAGUUUGAAGAUCGGAUUCUUGAGCUACUUCUUAGGAGUUAUGAGAUAUUGCUUAGGAAUAGAUAACAACAAGUUUUCAUAUGGAUUGUAAGGAUAAGUUUUUCCGCAAAGUUUUAAAAUAAAAGAAAAUUUUUUUGAUUUUAUUUAUUUUAAAAUAUCCUUACAAUGGCAUUUGAGGAAAAAUUGUUGCUUAUAUGAUUCCAUUAAGAGCAAGAGUGGAAAUAUGAAAUUGAUUCUUUCAUUUGUGGUAAUGUCUAAAUUUACCAAAUAAGGAAAGAUUCUCAUCACCCAAGUUUCAAUUGGACCGGAACUUGGAAUCAUGCAAGUUGUAUAGCAUGAUGAAUGAGAACUUUCAAGUUUUGGAAAAUUAAGACUAAUUACUUGUUCACAUGGAUGUGUGAGUCAAGUAAAGGACUUAGGGAUCGAGUACACAUUCUUGUGCACUGAUUAAGUCCACCACUAAAGAUCGAUAAGAAGAAUCAAAUAAGGCAGAAGGAUAAAAGUUUCUCAAAUCUGAAAAGAUGGGAGAGUACUUUAGUAUCAGUUUUGUGAUCAUCUUAAUGAUUAAGAAACCAUAUCAAAAUUAGUUCUCUAAGGAAAUCUUAGUGCAUUCUUAUGACUAAGAAGAGGAACUUGAAUUGUUGAAAUGGUUAAAUCAAGAAGAUGAGUCAUACUUCGUUCCAAUACAAGUCUUAGAGUCAUACUCCAAGAUUGUCAUUUGAGUGACAUGUCUUAAAGAAGGUUUAAAACACUUGUCAAAUGUAAGAGUAAAAGUUUUCUACUCUUGUACAUUUGAAAUUGGUAAGUUGUGAUGUUUUGGAUAAAACAAAGACCAACUUAGGCCAAUUGGGUAAAGUGUUUUUCUUGAUUAGAAUCCGCACUAUCUCUUGGAUGUUUGACAAGGGAGUCUUAUAUGUCAAGAGGACAGUGGGAGUCUUAAAGGUCUUGAAAGUCUCAAGAAAUAAUCAAGAAUAAAACCUAAAGUUCUUCACUAGCACACGACUUGAGGUUUAUAACCUAUCGUGUUGACAUAUCUGUGCCCAUUCCAGUUAAAGUUGGCUUUGCAUAUGAGUUCUUAGAGUUCUCAGUUUGUUGCAUAACAACUUGGAAGCAAUGGCAGGCCCUUGAGCUGCCAGGUGGCAAGAAGUUAAGAUUGAGUUCAAUCCAUAUGGUUUUGGAUUUGUCAUUAUCUUUGUCUUGUGAUUAUGGUUUGACAAAUUCAUAUGGGUAGGAACUCAUACACCAUAUAAAUCUAAGUGUCAUAAGGUUUCUCUCCGAUUCAUGAAAAUGAUGGUGAGGAAACGCUUUCACUAAGUAGAUUUUACGAAGAUAUCAAUUGUGUUAUUUGCAUUUUCAAAAGUCGUUAGUGGAGCGCGUGUGGUUAACCGGCACACUAACAUGGACUUGUGAGAAAUGGCAAAUGCCUAAGCAAUUGAGACCAUGAUUACGGUAUCCCUUUUCAUGGUUCUUGAAAUUGCUUAGACACACAGGUGAGCUAUCUACGGAAAGGGUGUAUGAAUCUAAAUUUCAGACUGUCCAGCUGAUUUCUGAGUACAUGUCAAAGCUAGUGGGAGCAUAAGUGUUAUGCUAAUAAUCAUCAUGUUAGUGGGAGCAUGAUAAUUAUGAUAAGUAUUGCAAGUUAGCAAUGUUAAUUAUAGAAAACAAAAGUUUCAAUUGGGAAAAAGUUGUUUUGCUAUAAUUAAGGGAGAGGAAAUUAUGCUUCAUCUCAAAUCUAUAAGCUUAGAUCGUGAGGUUUUAAUCAUUUAGUCAAGGAUAUAUAUGAAUUUCAUGUUGGAAUGGCUCAACAUAAGGAAAUUCUGUAUAUGGGUCCAUUAUUUGCGUUCUAAAAUUCGAUUAUGAUUACGGCAUCCCUUUUCAUAAUCUGAAUUAUGAGAACUUGGCAAAUUGAAAUGGAAAUAUUAUAGCAAAAGACUGGUUUAGUCUUUAUGUAAGACAUCAUGAAUCGUGUCCCAUAUGCUUCGGAUAUAGGAUCGAUUACAUGUGCUAUAUUCAUCCGUUCUAAAAUUUUCCAAAUGCCUGGGGCAUUAAGAAGGGAAAAGGUUUAGAACUGGAUAUGACUAAAAGGAUUAAACAAUUGUCGAGGACAAUCUAAGGUUUACCAAAGAUUGGUUACUCAAGGACAAUUGGAAGUAUAGUGAUAAUUCUGGAAGGACCAUAUUGACAUAAUCUGUAAGGAGGCAACUCUUGUUCAGAAGUGAUAGUCAAAAUGGAAUCUGGAAAUGUUUCAAAGUUAGAAUUUUCAAUCUGUGUAAGAUUAAGGAAACUUAAUGCAAGAAGGAUAUUUCCAAGGAGUUGAUCUCCUUUGGAAUACUCUGUAAUGAUUGUUGCCAAGUCUUUGUGACUUUGUGCAUAAUCAUUACAAGAGGAUCAAUGCAUAUAAGUUUAGAAUCUAACAGAUUUCAGUAAAUGGCAUGAAUUUGGAAUUCUUGCAUUUGCAGUAAGGAUUUGGGAGUGUGAAAAGAGAAUCAUUGAAGUUAUGUUCAAUUGAUCUAGUUCACAAAGUAAAGAUCAUAGACAAACAUAGUAUGCAUACUUGGUGUGUGGCAUGACUAGUGUUUAAGAAAACAUAGUGUACAUGCUUGGAGCAUGGGACAACUAUUGUUUUAAAUUCAAGAAUAAAGUUGAUAGCUGAAACAGUAUACAAUGAAUAAUGUGUAAUCAUAUGGUGAUAAAUAAAAGGUGUUUUAUUUAUGUUCAAAGGGUUGAUACCAUAUUGGAUUCAAUUAUUAUUGUGUUUCAUUUUGCAUGUUUUGACUUCCCGAAUAAACUGGGUUAUUCUUCCGGAAUGACUAAGUUAUUCAAACCAUCCACAGUCGGUCAUAUGUUGGAAGUAGAUAUGAAUUAAGACUGUCAUGGGUUGGCUUGUAGAGGUCUAAGGUGUUGGACAAAGGGCUACAACACUCAUGAGUGCUCAUAAGUUCUGAGUAUUGGAUUCAACCCGCGCUCAUUGGAAUCACUUCAUGGAUUUUAUCACGAGUGAUCAUGAGACGAUAAUAUCUUAUAUUCUUCAAACCUAGAGAUAUGAGUUGUUACUAUGAGUUGAUAGUACAUUGAUUGCACGAAAACGCAUUUGGUAACUCGGUGCUAUAAAACGUGCCUUUGUGUAUGAUUCAACAAGUAGUAGAACAAGCCAUAUGAGUCGAAGUUUAUCCAUUCCUUUUACCUUCGGGAUAAAAGCGAUAUCUGUGGGCCCCUCGAUGAUUUGAUGAUGACAAAUGGAAGUGCUCGGCCGAGCCAGGACUGAUUUGAUUUGUUCAAUUAGUCAGUCGUCAUAAAUCGGAAAUCGGGAAACAACAAAUGGACAGAGAGAAUGAUUAUAAUCCAUGUCUCAGUCCAUAUGAUAUCUAGAAUGGAGGAAUAUAUGAUCCCUUAUCUAAUGGACAAGUCAUUGACAAAUGUUAGAGUUCAUCGACAAGGUCAGAGUUCGACAGCGGCUUUUGAGAGCUACGAUUGCUAGUUAGGUUUUGAAGUCAUACCCAAUAAUAGUUUUAGACAUAUCCAAGUGGGAGACUGUUGGAUUAGUGU